rnacentral:rRNA from 1 species
CCUACGGGGGGCUGCAGUCGAGAGGCUUCGUCAAUGGGGGCAACCCUGAACGAGCGACGCCGCGUGUGGGAUUGAAGGCCUUCGGGUCGUAAACCACUGUCAAGCGGGAAGAAUACCCUGGUGGCGAACCAGGGGGAGACGGUACCGCUGGAGGAAGCCCCGGCUAACUCCGUGCCAGCAGCCGCGGUAAUACGGAGGGGGCAAGCGUUGUUCGGAUUUACUGGGCGUAAAGGGUGUGUAGGCGGUUGCGCAAGUCUGGUGUGAAAUCUUCACCGCUCAACGGGAAGAGGUCACUGGAAACUGCGUAACUCGAGUAUGGAAGAGGCAAGCGGAAUUCCUGGUGUAGCGGUGGAAUGCGUAGAUAUCAGGAAGAACACCGGUGGCGAAGGCGGCUUGCUGGGCCAUCACUGACGCUGAGACACGAAAGCGUGGGGAGCAAACGGGAUUAGAUACCCUUGUAGUC